rnacentral:rRNA from 1 species
GACGAACGCUGGCGGCGUGCUUAACACAUGCAAGUCGAACGGAAAGGCCCUGCUCUUGUGGGGUGCUCGAGUGGCGAACGGGUGAGUAACACGUGAGUAACCUGCCCUUGACUUUGGGAUAACUUCAGGAAACUGGGGCUAAUACCGGAUAGGAGCUCCUGCUGCAUGGUGGGGGUUGGAAAGUUUCGGCGGUUGGGGAUGGACUCGCGGCCUAUCAGCUUGUUGGUGAGGUAGUGGCUUACCAAGGCUUUGACGGGUAGCCGGCCUGAGAGGGUGACCGGCCACAUUGGGACUGAGAUACGGCCCAGACUCCUACGGGAGGCAGCAGUGGGGAAUAUUGCACAAUGGGCGGAAGCCUGAUGCAGCAACGCCGCGUGCGAGAUGACGGCCUUCGGGUUGUAAACCGCUUUCGCCUGUGACGAAGCGUGAGUGACGGUAAUGGGUAAAGAAGCACCGGCUAACUACGUG